rnacentral:rRNA from 1 species
GAGACUCUGUGCGCGUGCAUAUCAAUAAGCGGAGGAAAAGAAACUAACAAGGAUUCCCUUAGUAACGGCGAGUGAAGCGGGAAGAGCUCAAAUUUGAAAUCUUCAAGGUUCUACCUUGACGAAUUGUAGUUUAUAGAAGUGUUUUCUGUUAGUAGGAGUGGCGAAAGUUCUUUGGAAUAGGACAUCAUAGAGGGUGAGAAUCCCGUAUUUGGUCAUUCCUUCUAGCGUUGUGAUACACUUUCAACGAGUCGGAUUGUUUGGGAAUGCAGUCCAAAAUGGGUGGUAAAUUUCAUCUAAAGCUAAAUAUUGGCGAGAGACCGAUAGCGAACAAGUACCGUGAGGGAAAGAUGAAAAGAACUCUGAAAAGAGAGUUAAACAGUACGUGAAAUUGUCAAAAGGGAAGCGUUUGACACCAGUGUUGUUUUUCCGAAAAUCAAUUAAGAAUGUCCUUAUUUUGAGGAGUUCAUGACCUUAAUAGGCUUGUUUCUUAUUUUCUUGUAACUUUCUUAAUGCACUUUUCGGUUAACAAGUCAACAUCAAUUUCUUUUGUUGUAAAAGGUUAUGAGGAAGGUGGCUUUGACUUCGGGUAAAGUGUUUAUAGCCUUUUAACUCUGCAGUCGGAGAGAUUGAGGUCUGCAGCGUAGAUCCUUCGGGGCUAGAUACCUUUAUGCUAAGUUAUAGCUUUUCAUAGACAACUUGUUGACUAUGUUUAGUCUUGUAGCUUACUCGCAUGCGCUAUUUUACCUACGCUUAGGAUGUUGAACUCUAUCACACACAG